rnacentral:rRNA from 1 species
UACGUAGGGUGCGAGCGUUAAUCGGAAUUACUGGGCGUAAAGCGUGCGCAGGCGGUGAUGUAAGACAGAUGUGAAAUCCCCGGGCUCAACCUGGGAACUGCAUUUGUGACUGCAUCGCUGGAGUGCGGCAGAGGGGGAUGGAAUUCCGCGUGUAGCAGUGAAAUGCGUAGAUAUGCGGAGGAACACCGAUGGCGAAGGCAAUCCCCUGGGCCUGCACUGACGCUCAUGCACGAAAGCUGGGGGAGCGAACAGG